ensembl:lncRNA
UAUAUAUAUAUAUAUAUAUAUAAAAUCAUAAUUUAUUGCGAGCCAAUGUUAAAGACAGUUAUGCACAGGAAGAAGACAGUUAUGUAAAGGACAGUUUAUGUUGCUCUGUGAAGUGAAGCCAUUACUUCCUGUCCUCCUUCAUCUUAAAACAGAAGGUUAGAGAGCUGAACCUAACAUACGUAGGUGAGCCUUAACAACUUCCAUGCUGCCAUUUUCUCCAGUGCUACUUUAGAUCUGGGAUUAUCAUAGAAGCAUCCAAAGUUUGGAGAUCUAAAAUCAAAGUUUAAUCAGGGGCCAGAUAAUCGUAGUAGAAAAUAUAAAAUCAUAAAAUCACAUUCCACAUUAUAAUGAAGAAAAUCCCUAUGAUCAACAUGUUUCAAAUGUUCUGACAGCUUUGACAAAAAUGUAGUGCCACCAAAUGGCAAAAGGUGUGAAACCAAUGCAAUCAUUAUUUGCAAAUAACACAAUGUUGUGAUAUGUUAGCUGCAGACAAUGAGAUUAUAAGCUGAUAGAAAUCUGCAGCAAUUAUUGCAUUGUAUAAAGUGAAAUAAUUAAACAUGUUUACAUAGUGCAUCACAACCAGUGAGUAAGAUAUAAAUAAGUUGCACAAAUAAGCCGGAUAUUCUCUUUUAAUGUCACCUUUAAUCACUUCUGAAAAAGGCAAAAAGAACAAAGGAAAAUAUGAAAGUCAGGUGACUGAACAAGGUUUCAAACUUAAAUGCGCAUUUUACUUUAUUUUUAAUCUUAUUUCAAUCUGAAAUAUUUUACAGGCUACACAGCAGCUUUUCAAAUGAGCUAUCAAAUCAUUUAAACAUCUUAAUAAUGACAUUUCUUUGACAUUAAGAGGAAAUAUGAUGUAUGACAUGGUUCAUGUAGUGACGCCUAAAACCUGAUACUGUUUAGGUCCUUAGAUACUGUACAUGCAAGCACCAGAAUUUUUGUGUUGCUUUGUGCCAUACACACAAACACAGAUGGACUCACACACAGACAUGGAGUGAGAGAGAGAGAGAGAGCUGCCAACACCCUUUUCUCACCAUCUAGAGACCUGGCUCCACUGACUGCUCCUGGCGAGCUGCUGAGAAGCGAUUGUCAGCCACUGUCAUGCAAAUCUCCCAGCCUGCACUGACAGCAGCAUCACUAUAGUUACAGACUGACUGUCUUCAGUGAGAACACUGACAGUCUGCAUAUUAAUGACAAAUUAAUCAGGCUAAAACAAAUCUGGGGAGGCUAGAUGUGAAACGAGGAACAGACUGAAAAGCAGACUUUGCCUUUUAGUGUCAUUUUAUUUCAUCUACUGAACAUCAAAUUCCAAUAACAAUGCAAAACCAAAAUAUAUAAUUCUAGUGUCCGCCAUAAAUAAGAAAUGUACAUGCACUACAUAUACAGACAGGAUUCACGAAAUUUAACUGUAAAAAUAAGUUUAACAGACUCUUUCAAACAUCCAACUAUUCAUAUUUGAUUAUUAUUUAAAUGUCUAAUAAUAUUAUAUCUAUUUAUAGGAGCUAUUAAAUGUUUUAUUCAUGAAAUGUAUGGCAACAGAAUACACCAGGUAGAAGUUAAUAAUAUUUGUAGGUCUACUUGUUUUUGAGUUAUCGAGGUUUGGAUGAAACCCAUUCAUUCCUGUCAAGCAGGCUAAUAACUAUAUGAACGUAAUAAUAAAUAUAAUAAAUUAUAAUAAUGGAGUGCUUUGAUUUCCAGCACUGCAACAAAUAAAAAUCAAUAAAUAAAUAAAUAAAUCAGACCUCCUGGCUAUGCUUCACAGGCCCGACUUUGAAUACCAGUCCUCAAUUUCACUACCUGUGUUAUUAAUUCAUAAACCAUAACACCUUCAGAUAUAGCAACUCUCUACCAGAUGGAACAUCAUGUACACUUUCAAACCAUAAGGUAUUUAAUUAACGCCUUGCUAAUGUAAUGUUAGCAAACAGCACGUGGUGCUCAGGCAAGCAAUCACAACGUGUGUGGAAGCAAUGUACAAUCGGCAAACAGCGCCAGUGAGACGAGCCAAAGAGCCGCAUGGCGCUCACCCACAAUGUCUUAGAGGAUUUCCACUGUCUUCCCAUAAAGCACCACUGCCCUCAGUGCUCUGAAAGAAGUAUACUGCGCUGCGUGUGGAGGCCAGGUCGAGGGGAGAGGAUGACAGAGCUGACCAGCAUUCCAGUGCAGGGCAGGACCCAUGGCUGAGAGGGAAGCAUUGGAUAUAUGCCGAUGACAUUUCCCUCCUGAACUAAUUAGUUUAGACCCACGCUGGUUAAUCGGGUUUGGUGUGUAGGAGUCAUGUUUAAGCUCCUCAAACCCAGCCUCAGAUCUUAGGGGCCUUGUUCAGCGAGAGGGCAGAUGGGUCACUGUAUGUGUGUGUGUGUGUGUGUGUGUGUGUGUGUGUGUGUGUGUGUGUGUGUGUGCGUUUGUAUAAGUUUUCACACGCCUCUUUAUUGAACACAGAUUAUAUACCAUUCCUCCAAUUUCAGAAAUCUAUAGUACAGUUGUUACAAUAGUGAUACAGCAUUGCACUCUCUAAAAUAAUAUUAGUGACCUACUCUACAAAUUCAUGGCCGAAGUACAUAGAUUUGCAGGACUAACCUUGAUUUAUGGCAAAAAAAUUGGAUUCUUUUUUUUUUGGACAGAGUAUUAUUUAGAAUAGUAGAAUAUAGAUCACUACUUUAUUUUCACAUAUUCCAUAUCUGAAUAGUUCUUUAGAAAGUGUGCUGGAUGCAAACUCCCUUUUAUUUUGACUAGGAAUGUGUCUAAAUGUAUCUGGUCUUAAAUAGAGUACUUACAGUAGCAGUCUUUUUUAAUUAACGCUAAAGUAAAAACUAAUUACCCAUUUCAACACUCAAUUCAAUAGCAGGAGAACCUGAGGGUCAAGAUCAUUCUACAUUUAUUUAUGCCAGAAUGCCGAGAAAAGCUGAGAAAAAUAUUGUCAAGCCUGUUGCCAUGUUAUUCAGACUCAUUUUCAAGGCUGAAAUCUGAACUUGGGGAAGGUGACAGGGGAAAAAAAUGAUCAUUUCAUGAUACUUGGUAUGUGUCAUAAUAUUUUGUGUGAAUCAGCAAAUCAGCGUUGCCACAUUAAAAAAGAAAAGACAGAAGUGAUUACAGCAUCAACUGCCUCAAUACUGUGAACAACAAUAGAUAGUGAUAUCGCAUCAUAUUUUCACUCAGCCCUUAUCUGUUGCAUCUGCUGAAAGAAUACAGAAACAGUGACAGAAACGCUGCAGGAUUUUGGUUCAGAGCAGCACCACGUGCUUCAGCACCAUCUUGUCUCAUUUACCUACACGGGAAUUCCAAGAAAGCUCAAGACGGCUGUUUGCAUCAGAACAGGCUCAAUCUCAUAUCGCUGACCAUGAAAAACAAUCUUACUGUAAUAAACUAACACUGGAUCUUCUCAUGAGACCUGCUUGCAUUCUGAGAAACAGGAUAUUUGAUCAAAUGUGUCGUUUUUUGUGGCAGUGCGAUCUCUAUAAAAGCUGAGCAGGAAGCUAAGACCAGGUUUGGGGUUCUAAACCCGAUUUCAGAUACCUGAAUGAUCAACGCUGGUUAGUGGUCUGUGAGAAAAUGUGUGUGUGAUUGUAUGUCGGAGACGGCUCAGAGCUUCCCAGCCAUGGGCGUUACCCACUGUGGAUCUGUCUCUGUCACUCCACCUGCACAGCUCACCUCAGCAACCUUUGUUCUAAGCACCUGGCCCUGCCUGACUUUGCUGCUCCACCUUAAACGCUUGGGCCAGGCUCCUGUCCCUAUGUCUGGUCCACCUUAAAACGAGCAGAGGCUGCCCCUGUGCCAAAGGAGUGCAGCGUGAGGAGCAAACAAUAGAACUGCAGCUCAGAUACCAAAGCACUGCAGAGACAGGGGCAAAGCCCAUACUGACACAAACACACACACACACACACAGAAACUGAAAUCCCAGCAACAGAGGCUUGGGCAUUUUCAUUAGAAAAUCCAGAAAGCAAUCUAAGCAGAGUGUACCAAACAAAUCCUCUUACGACUGCGGCUACCUGGACAAGCAUCCAGACAAAGUGCCUCACCCCUGACUGACAACAUCAUCCCUGUGAAAUGGCACCACGAGCGGCUGCGCUAUCAUAGUCCUAUCUUUUGAUUCGGUGGUGGUUAACAGAGUGAGGCUGGCUGGUGAACGUGAUGGCACUAUGCUCGUCAUACAUUAGGAUGUAGCUGCUGCCCACACCGCAUUGCGCCUUUGCCCAGGAAAACCUACACACAUAGACCCAGCUUUUUAUUUUAUAUACAUUUUUCCUUGUCACGCUAUUCCAUUAAGUCCGAGGUGCCAUUUUAAUGAGCAGUCAGUCAGCUAUGACCUAGAUGAGAGGACAUUCGGUGUCUGAGUAAUAUGGAUAGUGGAAAGAUCAGCACAAAGAAAACCACCUCCCAUGCCUGAUUGUUUAUCAAUAUGUAAGCUAUAUUAGGAGUGCUUUGUUGGUACCUAUGCUGGUACAAUGGUAUAUUCUCUUGAGCUAUAUCAUUGUGAGUUCCUGCUUCGGAGAAGCCAAAGCCGCCCUAAUCCGUCUCAGGAGUGCGUCAGAUUUUUCACAAACCAAAAAAAAGAUACAAAUAAUAAUGGCACCGUUCAGCACUGACUUACAACAAACAGCACAGCAGUGCUACAUACUAAAGCUAUGCCAUGCAGAAAUGGAGCACAUGUGCACACACACACACACACACACACACACACACACACACACGCACACUCAGACACACACACACAAUCAGCAGGCUGAAGAGAGAGUGAGUUGAUGUCUUCAGAGCACAAGGUUGAGGACUCUCACUGAGGUCAAACACAAGUGUACCGAGCCGUAAGCGUCACGCUCUCACCAGUACUUUGUGCUGCUCUCAAAUCAUUAGGCAAGGACAAGCCAGCACGGAGAAGACAAAGACACUCAUACAGUAUGGCCUCGCUGAAGAGAAACCAUACAUGACUGCUCAUUUGCUCCUCGUGGUUGUGCAUUGGAAAGGAAUCCUCCUCUCACAAUGAAGCCUCAGCUGAUUCGAACCACAAAUGUGUCACAUGACCCCUGAUGCCAGCAUUCCUUUAUCCCUCCCCUUCCAAAAAAGCCAUCUUCUCUUCAUAUCCCUGGCUAGCUUAUAUCCCCCCCCCCACCCCCCUUCACUGUGGAUUCAUUUCACUGUUGAUUUGGCUUUAAAAUGGCUUUGUCUCCCACAGUGCUAGGAUGAUGGAGUACCCCUCCCAGCUCCCAAGAGCCUAACCCGUGCACAGAACAGCAAAACGUCACAAGUUAGGGUCUCAGGGACUGCGAGAGGCACAUGGUCAAAAUCUGUCUCUGCUCUGGGCAUGCGGCAAACCUGUAACGACAUCAAAACAAAAGCAUCAUCCUUAAAGUGUACAUAGAGGGUCGAGCUGGCCGACAAGAAGACUAAAGAAAAUGAACCCCCGUCUCAGUACAUCUCCAAAUUAAAAUAACAACAGCAAUAAUAACAAUAAUCAUAAAAAUUAAUCUGGCCUUCUUAUAGCAUUAUAGCGUUCACUCCGUCCCCCUACCCCCUCCUGUGACACACAACAAGUGCAACCUUCAGCCAGACACAACACUGACACCUCCCCCCUCCCCCAACUCUCUGUCUCUCUCUGUCUCUCUCUGUCUCUCUCUCUCUCUCUCUGGCUCUCUCGUGUGCUCUCUCUCUCUUUCUCUCUCUCGCACGCUCUCGCGCUCUCUCUUUCUCCCCCUGACCCCAAUGCCAUUCUAUACCACUUUGGAAAAUGUCCUCUCAGGUAAACUUAGUCGUCCCAUCAAUAAGCUCCUCUCACAACCACACACACACACACACACACACACACACACACACAUAGGCAUAAUAACCCUGAAACUCUUGCGCCAAGUCAUAGUCCUGCUUCCCAUACUUCGCUCUCGCAUUAAUUACUCUGAACGACAGGCUAAAGAAUUAGACACACUUAUUAAAGUAGCUCACAGUUUGAAACAAAAGGAGGUUAGUUUCAUCAAGCAUACAAAGAGUUCCUGAGUACAGAUGUUACCUGGCUAGAUGAAGAAGAACGAAGCCAGCACAAGCCAUUUUUUUAUAUGACUAAUUAUGGCACUAUAAGAUACUGAAGAGGGAUGUUAGGAAGCAAGAUAGGAAGGAAGGAAAAAAUUUUUUUGCGGCACUUACCCAGGUUUGGUUGUAAGGACACAGCUGACCGCUUUCUCCCGUAGCCUGCUGGACAAAAGAAAGACAGAGUGAGAGGAAGCGGGAAAACAAGAGGAAGAUCAGAUAGGAGGAGAAACAGAAAGAGAAACAGACAUCUUAGAUUUCAAAACUGCUUCAGAGUGAGAGCGCUGAUGAAUAUACAUGCUUGCUGGGGUGGGUGAUAAAAGGAAGCGUGGAACGAGCGGCAUGGCGCAGCUGAACAAACGAGGGAACAGGUUGGCGGCGAGAUCGAAGCCCAGCUCCCAUCCCACACUCCAGGGCAACGAGAAAAGCCAGGUGGGUCAAUGACAAUGGUGAUGACGAUCACGGCACUGUUGGAAACAUGCAGGUUGGAAAAAGCGUGUGGGGAGGAGGUGAGCCCGAGAAGAACUGCGACUGCCAGCCAACAGCCAGGGCCACAACACCAGCAAAUCAUACCAGUCUACUGGAUCUCAGAAGAGAGGAGGGGGGAGGUGGGGGGGCUUGGUGAGAGCGCAUGCAGCCAGCCAGCCCCACACACACACACACACACACACACACACACACACACACACACACACACACACACACUUCCACUAGGUCACUUCACCUCACUGGUCCAGAGUUGAUUAGCUACAGUGGCUCCAUGUAGGCGUAUAUCCCUGGUAUCGCAGCCAGCGAAAACCAAAAAGGAAAGCACAAAUCUCCCUGACGAGAAAAGCUGCGGACGAGGCGACUGAAAAGAGGCACAGGCAUCAGUGCACUGUGCAGCUUCUGCUCCACUCUCCACACCCCCUUCUUCUCUUUCAUUCUCUGUAUCUGUCUUACAUUUCUCCCUCCCUCCCUCUCUCUCUCUCUCUCUCUCUCUCUCUCACACACACACACACUCACUCACUCACUCUCUCUCUCCCGCCGUGUGCACACUUUUCCUCUCAUUCCAUCUCUGUUUGAGUAAAAUUGAAGGGUUGGGGGGGUGCAGGAGGAAAAAGUAGGAGAAAACUCAUCAAACCGACACCUACAGGCUUUCGCCAGCCUAUAGCCUGAGAGUACAGAAAUUGCACAAUUAAAAGUUGCACAAAUAAGUCUGAAGAGGACCACAGAGAUCACAUACAGUUUCAAUCAAAAUUAUUCAACUCCCAUUGCAAAUCAGGUUUAUUAUAAAAAUUUACAGAAUUUCAGCUGUUUGCAAUGAACAAAUUAAAAAAAAGCAAUUGAAAUAGUUCAACACAAUGAAUGCUUCAAGUGGUUUUCCCAAAUUCAACUGAAAAUGCAACUUAUAAUGACUUCUCCAGUCUCAAAAUUAUUCAACCCCUGAAUAGAAUCCCUCACAACAGCACAACUAUGCAAAACAAGUGUUUUCUCAAGCACACCUAAUGCAACUAAUCAAGGGCUUAAUUAGUUGCACCAGGUGUGCUUGAGCUGGAACACACGAAAUACCUGGACGGGGCAGAAAAAGGAAGCUAUCAAAUGUUGCAACCAGAUUUUUUGGGGAUUCUGUUCUGUGGAGCGAUGAAACAAAACUGGAUUUUUUUGGCAGGGUGGAUCAGCGGUAUGUCUGGAGAAAGAAGAAUGAAGAAAGAACACUCAGUGAUGCUCUGGGGCUGCUUUGCAACCUGUGGCACUGGAAACCUGCAGCAUGUGGAAGGCAAGAUGGAUUCAUUGAAGUAUCAAAAAAUCAUAGGAGAGAACAUCAUGCCGUCUGUGAGGAAGCUGAAGCUUGGGCAUCAUUGGACCUAACAACAGGACAAUGACCCCAAGCAUACCUCAAAUUCCACCAAGGCUUGGUUGCAAAAGAAGUCCUGUAAGAUUCAAGAGGGCCAUCACAGUCACCUGACUUGAACCCCAUAGAAAAUCUCUGGUGGGAUUUGAAGAAGACAGCUGCAGUACACAAACCCAAUAAUAUUAAUGAGCUGGAGGCCGUUGCUCAUGAGGAAUGGGCUUAGAAUUCCCAGGAAUGCUGCCAGAAGCUGGUGUCUGGCAAUGCAUCUCGUUUGCAGCAGGUCAUGACAACAAAAGUGUGUUCUACUAAGUACUACAGAUGCUUGCCAUGAAGAGGUUGAAUAAUUUGGAGACUGGAGAAAUCAAAUAAACCUGAUUUGCAAUGGGGGUUGGAUAAUUUUGAUUUGAUUAACACUUUAUGGCCACUUCAGUAGAAACAUCUGUACACCUUCUCAUUCAUGCAACAUUAUGAAGAAGAUUGUAAAAAUACCAGAAAAUGUUUGUUCAACUGUACAGUAAGAAAUGGCUACAUUUUAGCUCACUCAAGGCUACAUGGUCUUGACAGUUCAUUUCGAAGUGCCUAUAUGUUGGUGUGUAAUAGAAUACAUACUGAAAUUCUGCCUGCACAUCAAUAGCGACCUUUUUGCUGCACAUCCGUCAAAUUUCUCCAUAAUGUUUUGCUAAUGGGCAUUGUUUUUUCAGCAGUAAUCUUUAUUUUACUGCGGGUUGCCAUGGUUUCACUGAGCAUGGCUAAUGCAAUAUCCACACGUGCAACAAUAUCUGCACAAGCUAGUGACAGAAUGUAUACAUAACCACUCAUUAGACCAGUAAUCAGAUAAAAAAAGGCUUGUGCAUAAGUAUAUGACAGUCUGUGGACCUAAAACAACGUUUUCACGAUUUCUACAACCUAUUUAUUGGGAUAAAAAUUUUUUAUGGGUUUAGUCAGCAUAUCACCAUUCUAUUUAGGUUGAUUUAACACAUUGAGUGGUAACAGUACAGCAAAAUAUAACCAACUGGCUCAGAAGCUAUCCAUAGGAGAAAUUACACCGAUAAUUUCAGAGUCAAGGAUGAGUGAACCACCAUCCCUUCUACAUUUACAUUUGCAUUCAUGGCAGACACCAUUAUCCAGAGUGAUUUACAUUUAUGUACAUUUAUACAUCUGAGCAUUUAUACAGCUUUAGGGUUAAGGGCCUUGCUAAAAGUCCCAACAGUGGCAGCUUGGCAUGACCUUCUAAUUACUAGUCCAACGUCUUAACCACUGAGCUACCACUGCGACUAAUUUGCAUGAAGUUGAACACUAACCUUGACCACUUUGCAUUCGUAAUGGUUGCUCCACUUCCUGAUGCUGCAGUUCACCAGCUCACAUUGAAAACAACAGACUUCUAGACACUAAGCCACACAGUCAGGGAAAGAGAUGUUCUUCAGAAAAAAAAAACUGACUCACCUUUACUUUAUCUUGUUUUCCCCAUUUGGACUGGUAAACCUGAAACCUCUGUGUCCUCCAUACAUCCUAAAAAUCCAACACACUUCAGUGAAAAAAAAAGAAAAAAAAAAGAAAGAAAAAAAAAAAGAAGACAUACUUAAUUUUUCACUGAUAAACAAGAAACUACUGUUACAGAUAAACAGAAAUUAUGGAAUGAUUAAUAGUUGGAAAUGUCAAAUUGCAGUUAUGUCUACUCUAGUCUUUACAGCAAAUCCACUAAACAGAAUGGCUCAAUUUUAUUAAAACAUUGUAAAUAUACCUUUUAGUCAAAUGACUAAGCACACUCAAAUGCAUGUUCCUUAUUUCCUAUAAUUAAAAGGAUCAGCAGAAAAGACAUUUUUGUAACAGUACAUAAAAUUUGUCUUUAAAUGCAAUCACAAUUUUAAAGCAAAGAAGGCCUUUGAGUCAUUUUUGCUCUAAACUAUUUUCUGAGAAAAAGGCAUUCUUUUACAUUCUAAAGCUUUCAGACUGCACUCUAAAAAAUGCUAGGUUAUUUUUUUCGACCAAAACGCUGGGUUGAGACUUUUGGUUCAUUUAAUUGGGUUAUUUUCUCAGUCAUGGGUAGUUUGUGUAAUCCAACCUCAGGGUUAGUCGCUGGGUCAUUUUCACUGACAGUUGAAUCAAUGCACCCCUCCCCCACCCCGACGCAUCAGCCCAGCUCCUUGGGUCAAAUCAACUCAGCACGGACUCUUUAUUGGUCACAUUACAGCAUAGUGAAAGUCUUUUCUUCGCAUACCCCAGCUUGCCAGGAAGUUGGGGUCAGAGCGCAGGGUCAGCCAUGAUACAGUGCCGCUGGAGCAGAGAGGGUUAAGGGCCUUGCUCAAGGGCCCAACAGUGGCAGUUUGGCAGCGCUGGGGCUUGAACCCCUGACCUUCCGAUCAGUAAUCCAGAGCCUUAACCACCACUGCCCUAUAUUUAUCCAUAAAACCAUUACUAUACACCAGAAAAAGCAAAAAUGUGCGAUAACAGUCCAGUUUACAUGACAUUAAAUGCACCGCUAUCUUCCUUAAGUUUGGCUUACUUCAGUCUAUACAAUCUAUAAUAUUUAACAAACCAAGGGUCUUUCCAAAGGGAAUACAUGAAUACCUUUCUUUUUAAGAGGAAGUAUUUCAUAAAAGGAGACACUGGCAAAAUUCAGAAUGAAUUAAUAGAAUAACACCAGAGUCCAUGGUUUCUUUCUAAAGGCUGUUCUUUGGUGCAGGCAGUGAAUGGCACAGUGAACACACUAUAAAGGUAAUGGACAAUAACAGAUAUAUUCCAACAGUCUAUCAGUCGAAAGAAUAAGGACGCAAUUGAUUAUUGUGCACGAGUUUCCCCAUACAACAAAGCCAUUCAACAAGGCAUAAGAUCACAGUGUUGUAGUAUAUUCUCAGGAUUUAAGUAACCAGCAUAAGAGAGUGAUGUAAAUGUAAAAAGAGGUGGGGUUAUUUUUAUAUAAUAUCAAGACAUAUGGUUAGCUGUUGUGAUAUUCAAAUCAAAUCCGCUAAUUUCCGGCCCUAUAUAAAAUGAGGCUGUGCACUGCAGUACGGCUUUUUCAAUGACAUACAAAUAGUUUACAAGAUAAAUUCCAAAUGUUCAUUUUAUGUUUUGAUCAACAGAACUCAAUGCUCAUGAAUCACUACAUGUUGUAUACGUACUAAUUCUGGCGAAUCCCAUUACAUGAAGGUUGCACAGAUGAUUAUCUAGACAAUUUGCUUGACAUGAGGACAAAUAGCAAAAAACAGAAUUUCACAACUUUAUUUAUUGAGAUCAUCUUGAAAUAGUAAACCUAAAUAUAAAACAAAGUCAAGAAAAAGAUUAAAGUAGAAAAAACGUAGGUGAAGUGCAAGUUGGAAUGAUGAUGCUGUUGAUGACAAAAAGUACAAACAAAUGCACAUUUUACUGCUGAUGUGAAUUUAAAUGCUGAUUAAAACAGAAGCUUAUCUGUUGAAUUACAAUGUAUAUCCAGGCUGUAAUAUCGAAUGAAUGUGUGUGAUGUAGACCACGCUUCUCACAUCCUGUCAGGGUACCUCUUUGGACAAAGCCUUUGAAGAGGCGACACCUCUAAGUGGAAUGAGCCCUUAUGCCCAGAGGCGCAGCGAGACCUCAUGAGUGAUAGAGAUUGCUUCCACUAUCCAAUUAGAGAUGUGCUGCUUUGACACAGCAUUACCUCAACUGUCACCCCCAAAGCAGACCAGCAGCUGCUCCGACUUAUGCCACUGGCCGGACCGGUGGAUGUAAGUACAGAGAGCCCUUACUGGACAUAGUAGGUGUAAUUUCUCUUGUUCCAUUGUGAGGAUUACUGGCUGGGCACUGGAUGUAGACACUUUAGGAAUAUAAACCAGCCUAGGAUAUAGGAAGGCCUUGACUAAUCCAGGGGCAAAAUCAAGUCAGGAAGGGACAACAGAGCGAGCUUCUAGAUCUCCUACUCGCUUAAGAGAUGCCAGGGCCAGCAGAAGAGCUACCUUUAGAGUCAGAAGCUUCUCUGAGGCUGACAGUAAGGGCUCAAAUAUGGCACCUGACAGACCUUCCAGGACCAGAAAGGUCCCAGGAAGAUGUGCGUGGUCUGCAGAUGAGCCUCGGCCACCUGACAUCACGCAUAAACCUUGAAGUGAGAGGAUGUUGCCCCAAAGAGGCUCCACCAGUAGUGGCAUGGCUGGCCAAAAUGGUGGCCAUGUAGACCCUGAUGUAGAAGGAGCCAACCCUGCUGUGAAAUGUCCUUGUAAGAACUCCAGGACUGUAGCUAUUGCGCAAUUCACGGGUUCUAGCUGACGUUCCUCACACCACGAGACAAAAAGUUGCCACUUGAGCACAUACAAUUUCUUCAUGGAUGGUGCUCUAGCAUUCAACAUGGUCUCCACAACCUCAGUUGCGAGACCAGAAUCUAUGAGCUGGUGCCAAUCAAGGGCCAGACCCACAGUUUCUAUAGGUCCGGACGAGGUUGAUAAAUCAGCCCUUUUGAUUGACACAGUAGAUCCCUGCAGAUGGGAACCUCACAAGGAGUGCGUGAGUGUGAGUGACCUCGGCCACGUGUGAACCAUGGCGUCCAGCCGCAAUGGUGUGGGAGGAGUGAGGGAAAACCACAGUGGGCAGUGUGUUGUCUCCUCAGAGGUGAACACAUCCACUUCCACUUGGCCGAACCUCAGCCAUAUGGAUUCCACCACUUGUGGAUGGAGCCUCCAAUCCCUGGGCCUCAGCCCCUGUCUGCCCCCACAUUCCAGUUGCCCAGAAUGUACAUUGCACUCACUGACAAAAAUUUUCCCACUGUCCAGAGAAGUUGCUUCUGCAUGAACAGGGGGUGCGAACAUAAUCCUCCCUGGUGGUUGAUACAUGAGACCACUGCUGUGUUGUCUGUUAAACUAACACAUGGUGACCUCUCAAUUGAGGAAGAAAGAAUUUCAGUGCUAGAAACAUGGCCCACAUUUCUAGGCAAUUUAUAUGCCACUCCAGAUGAGGGCCGCUCCAGAGACCAUGACCUGGACAGGCAUCUUAGACCAUGUCCCCAGCCUGUGAGGGAGGUGUCUAUCAUUACCAUCUUGCAAUAAGGAGACACCCCUAGAGUGUGACCCAAGGCUAGAAACCGGGGACACCUACAAAUUCGUGGGGUUAGAAACACCCUCAUCAUAGUAGAAUCCAUAUGACCUGUAGAAAAGUUGUCCUCUGCACUGGAGAAAGCAUACUUUUCUUGAAGUUCAACCUGAGCCCCAAGCUCUUCAUGUGGGCGAGACAACAUCUCGAUGUUGAAUCACCAGUUCUCUGGAUUGUGCAACAAUUAACCAAUCGUCCAGGUAGUUUAGUACACAGGUGCUCUGGAGUUGCAGUGGAGCCAGAAUGGCAUCCAUGCACUUUGUGAAGGUGCGAAGGGAUAAAGCUAGCCCAAAGGGAAGAACCCGAUGUUGGUAUACAUUGCCUCUAAAUGCAAACCUCAGGAACUUCCUUUGACUUGGAAAUAUCUCUAUGUGGAAAUAUGUGUAUUUUAGAUCUAUCGUCACAAACCAGUCCUCAAACUGAAUCUGUGGAACGAUAAGUUUCAGUGUCAGCAUCUUGAACCUGUAUGUCCGAAGUGUACAGUUCAGAUGACGCAGAUCUAAAAUUGGCUGCAUAUUCCUAUCUUUUUUGCGGACCAGGAAAUAAAGGCUGUAAAAAUGUCCCUCCCUCAGGGAACUUGAUACAUGUUCAAUGGCCCCUUUGUCCAAGAGGGAUCGUACUUCUUGCACUAACAUCGGGCUCUGCUCUGUGCUGACUACUUGGAUGAGCACGGCUCUGAACCAGGGGGGUCCAGCUCUGAACUGGACCUGGUAACCCUUUUCUACGGUAGACAGCACCCAUGGAGACACUUUUGGAAGUAGUUUCCACGCUGCCAUAUGAUCUUUUAGUGACUUUUCCACGUUCUAUUGGAGGGAAAGCAUCAGAUUUUCGUUGCCUUGUGACAGCUCACUGACCAGAGAACACUGAAAACUUGGGACAGCCUUGGCUAGGGGAGGCCCUACAGUAGUACUGGGGGCUAACUGCCCUAACAAUCUCAUGUCCCCUGAUACGUCCCUCCACAGCCCCUCAGGCCACUCCUUCUUUGUCUGCUUGGCCUUUAUGACCAUUGUAAGAUCAGGCCUAGUAGCAAGCUGAGACUGUGGCCGCCCUGGCUGUCUGCGGGGGGAGGCCUGCUGCCACACUCAUGUUCUGUGCCUCCCUUGCACUAGUGACUGGCCCGGGCUCCACUCGUUUUUAUUAUUUUUUUAUGCACUUCUGGAAAAAAGGGGUUUUCUGCAGUGUGAGGGAGAUUUAUUUUCACUGGGGAGAAAAACACUCAUUCAGCCUUAGUAAUUGCUUCAAGCAGCUCUUUAUAUGCUUCAGAGCUGCUCUCAGUUUUUAGAAUCCCCUUCUGGCUCCUCAGAAUCAAAGAGGAAAUUUAUUUAUUCAUUUUUGACUUUCCAUAGCGGAAGAAGGAGUCGUGACGCGAGCUCCAAAAUCCGGCGAAGACCCGGAAGACAGAGAAAGAGGUCUCUGGCUCCUCUUCCAGAUCCCCUGACUGCCUUGGCAGCAGCCGGCCCAGAUCUGUGAGGCUCUGAAACCCAACUCCCUUUGGCCAAGAAGAGAGCGAGUGCAAGCGGAGCUGCCUAUUGCAAGGCAUUCACAAUGUGCACAGUUGAACUUCUCGAGGGUUGCCCUGGCAUGCUCCAUCCUUAGACACUUCAUACAGAAAUGUGUCGUCAUCUGACCCC